rnacentral:rRNA from 1 species
UACGUAGGGGGGCGAGCGUUGUCCGGAUUUAUUGGGCGUAAAGAGCGUGUAGGCGGCCAGGUAGGUCUGCUGUGAAAACUCGAGGCUCAACCUCGAGACGUCGGCGGAAACCAUCUGGCUAGAGUCCGGAAGAGGAGAGUGGAAUUCCUGGUGUAGCGGUGAAAUGCGCAGAUAUCAGGAAGAACACCCGUGGCGAAGGCGGCUCUCCGGGACGGUACUGACGCUGAGACGCGAAAGCGUGGGGAGCGAACAGG